CCUACGGGAGGCAGCAGUAGGGAAUCUUCCACAAUGGACGAAAGUCUGAUGGAGCAACGCCGCGUGAGCGAAGAAGGCCUUCGGGUCGUAAAGCUCUGUUGUCAGGGAAGAACAAGUAUCGGAGUAACUGCCGGUACCUUGACGGUACCUGACCAGAAAGCCACGGCUAACUACGUGCCAGCAGCCGCGGUAAUACGUAGGUGGCAAGCGUUGUCCGGAAUUAUUGGGCGUAAAGCGCGCGCAGGCGGUCCUUUAAGUCUGAUGUGAAAGCCCACGGCUCAACCGUGGAGGGUCAUUGGAAACUGGGGGACUUGAGUGCAGAAGAGGAAAGCGGAAUUCCACGUGUAGCGGUGAAAUGCGUAGAGAUGUGGAGGAACACCAGUGGCGAAGGCGGCUUUCUGGUCUGUAACUGACGCUGAGGCGCGAAAGCGUGGGGAGCAAACAGGAUUAGAUACCUUGGUAGUCCACGCCGUAAACGAUGAGUGCUAAGUGUUAGAGGGUUUCCGCCCUUUAGUGCUGCAGCUAACGCAUUAAGCACUCCGCCUGGGGAGUACGGCCGCAAGGCUGAAACUCAAAGGAAUUGACGGGGGCCCGCACAAGCGGUGGAGCAUGUGGUUUAAUUCGAAGCAACGCGAAGAACCUUAC
rnacentral:rRNA from 1 species